rnacentral:rRNA from 1 species
UACGUAGGGUGCGAGCGUUGUCCGGAAUUACUGGGCGUAAAGAGCUCGUAGGUGGUUUGUCGCGUUGUUCGUGAAAACCGGGGGCUUAACCCUCGGCGUGCGGGCGAUACGGGCAGACUGGAGUACUGCAGGGGAGACUGGAAUUCCUGGUGUAGCGGUGGAAUGCGCAGAUAUCAGGAGGAACACCGGUGGCGAAGGCGGGUCUCUGGGUAGUAACUGACGCUGAGGAGCGAAAGCGUGGGGAGCGAACAGG